AUUCCUACGGGAGGCAGCAGGGGGGAAUAUUGGACAAUGGGCCACAAGCCUGAUCCAGCAAUUCUGUGUGCACGAUGAAGGUCUUCGGAUUGUAAAGUGCUUUCAGUUGGGAAGAAGAAAGUGACGGUACCAACAGAAGAAGCGACGGCUAAAUACGUGCCAGCAGCCGCGGUAAUAAU
rnacentral:rRNA from 1 species